rnacentral:rRNA from 1 species
UCCUACGGGAGGCAGCAGUGAGGAAUAUUGGUCAAUGGACGCAAGUCUGAACCAGCCAUGUCGCGUGCAGGAUGACGGCCCUAUGGGUUGUAAACUGCUUUUUUACGGGAAUAAACUUAGCUACGUGUAGUUAACUGAAGGUACCGUAUGAAUAAGGAUCGGCUAACUCCGUGCCAGCAGCCGCGGUAAUACGGAGGAUUCGAGCGUUAUCCGGAUUUAUUGGGUUUAAAGGGUCCGUAGGCGAACUUGUAAGUCAGUGGUGAAAUCUCACAGCUCAACUGUGAAACUGCCAUUGAUACUGCUGGUCUUGAAUAUAGUUGAGGUAGGCGGAAUACGUUAUGUAGCGGUGAAAUGCAUAGAUAUAACGUAGAACACCGAUUGCGAAGGCAGCUUACUAAGCUAUUAUUGACGCUGAUGGACGAAAGCGUGGGGAGCGAACAGGAUCAGAUACCCUGGUAGUCCACGCCGUAAACGAUGAUUACUCGUUGUGCGCGAUACACAGUGCGCGACUGAGCGAAAGCAUUAAGUAAUCCACCUGGGGAGUACGUUGGCAACAAUGAAACUCAAAUGAAUUGACGG